rnacentral:rRNA from 1 species
UGGGUGUAGCAAUACAUCAGAGUUUGAGCGGCGCAAGGGUGCGUAACACGUGGGUAAUUUGCCGUGAAGUUGGGGAUAACUCGCUGAAAGGCGAGCUAAUACCGAAUGUGGAAUGAGAGUGGCAUCACUUUUUUUCUAAAGCUGGGGAUCGUAAGACCUGGCGCUUCAUGAUAAGCCCGCGGCCUAUCAGCUAGUUGGUGCGGUAACGGCGCACCAAGGCUAAGACGGGUAGCUGGUCUGAGAGGACGACCAGCCACACUGGAACUGAGACACGGUCCAGACACCUACGGGUGGCAGCAGUCGAGAAUUUUUCUCAAUGGGCGCAAGCCUGAAGGAGCGACGCCGCGUGUGGGAUGAAGGGUUUCGAUCCGUAAACCACUGUCAUUUGUGAACAAUGGUCAUUAUUUAAAAGAUGGUGACUUGAUAGUAAUGAAAGAGGAAGGGACGGCUAACUCUGUGCCAGCAGCCGCGGUAAUACAGAGGUCCCGAGCGUUG